GGUAGCUACUCCUUGAUUGAGGAUCGAAUUAACAAAGUUUUGGAUGUUCAGCUUGUCCAAAGCUCAGAAGUCCCAAGCAGCUCUUGGUGUGAGCUAGAGGGUCUAAAGCGGAGUAUGCAGUUCCUGAUGGACCAAGACAUGCAAGUAUCUGCUCUGAUAACAGACAGAAAUCGGCAGGUGGCCAAGUGGGUACGUGAGAAAAUGUGUUCAGAAGGAACAAGGCAUUUCUUUGACGUCUGGCAUAUUGGGAAAAGU